rnacentral:rRNA from 1 species
CAGUAGCCGCGGUAAUACGUAGGUGGCAAGCGUUAUCCGGAAUUAUUGGGCGUAAAGCGCGCGUAGGCGGUUUCUUAAGUCUGAUGUGAAAGCCCACGGCUCAACCGUGGAGGGUCAUUGGAAACUGGGAAACUUGAGUGCAGAAGAGGAAAGUGGAAUUCCAUGUGUAGCGGUGAAAUGCGCAGAGAUAUGGAGGAACACCAGUGGCGAAGGCGACUUUCUGGUCUGUAACUGACGCUGAUGUGCGAAAGCGUGGGGAUCAAACAGGAUUAGAUACCCACGUAGUCCCUGUCUCUUAUAA